CCACACUGGCCACACAGUGGCGCUGAUCAUCUUUUGUUUUGUUAGUUCAGCCGAGUGCUAUAAAAGGCCACUAACCCGGAAACAGACUCCCAUUGUGUGAGUGUUGUCGGGUGAGUGUGUUGUGUUUGAAUGACCUGAGUGUUUGUGUUGUUUGAAUGAAUGUGUUUGUAUGUCUUUAAAAAUCUACACCGUGAUCUUAUUUGAUCUGAUCCGUGGUGUUGCCCUGCCCGGAUUCAGAAAUGAUAAGAAAAGACUCGUUAGCCCGCUGUGGCGAUGAGCGUUUGGGCUUUUUCUAGCCGGAUAGCAGUUUCAGGGCACCGCAAUGGAGAUUGUGGUUAGAAAUGAUGACUCGAUCAGAUAUACUAGUACCGGUGGGAUUCUGGAGGUUUUCCUCCAGCGUUUCCUGUCUGGUCUAUGAGUAUAGAAGCGAUUCUGAUCUUC